UACGUGAGGGCGCAAGCGUUUGUCCGGAAUUAUUGGGCGUAAAGAGCUCGUAGGCGGUUUGUCGCGUCCGCUGUGAAAACUCGAGGCUCAACCUCGGGCUUGCAGUGGGUACGGGCAGACUAGAGUGCGGUAGGGGUGACUGGAAUUCCUGGUGUAGCGGUGGAAUGCGCAGAUAUCAGGAGGAACACCGAUGGCGAAGGCGG
rnacentral:rRNA from 1 species